AUAGACGGUCACACUACCCUGAGCAACGCGCCGAUCUCGUCUGAUUUCGGAAGCUAAGCAGGGUUUGGCCUGGUUAGUACUUGGAAUGGAGAGACCACCUGGAAUACCAGGUGCUGUAAGCU
ensembl:rRNA 5S_rRNA 5S ribosomal RNA